GAGGCAUAUAUUUUUGAUAAGCAGUAUCAAGGCAUUAUUAAUUUGUAUGUAUAUCAGCAUAUAUGUGUGUAUUUAAUGGUACGCUGUUAUCACCUGUUUGCGACGUGAACAAACAAAACACAAAUAAACUAUAAAUAAAUUCGAUAAUGACGUCGUCGUGAAUUUAUGCAAAACGCAAUAAGACAAUAAAUACAUAAGCACAUACAUAUUACAUAUGCAUAUGUAUGUAUGCGGAUCGGCACGGACAUGGACGUUGUUUGGUUCAUGGGCGUAGUUAACUUGUGCCGUCAAACAAAAACCUAGCUGUGUGCGUGAGUGUGAUAGACUAUGUUGAUGUGAACGUGUGGCUCCGCACAUAAACAUACAUAUGCAGCAGAAACAAACAUUCGCAUUCACACACACACGCGUACGCACAGUAUUGCUACAGUUGCCAUAUUGCAAAAAAUUAAAAUGUAUUUACUUCGUGAUCCCAACAAGCACACACACACAUGUAUGGAUAUAACAUUAAGUGAUCACUGCGUAUAUACUAAAUAUAUAUGAACACACUCGUACAUAUACUUAAGUAUGUAUUCACACACACACACGCACCUGUAAAUAUACACACACACACAUACAUGAUUGAAUGAACCUCCCUCAACUCUGAGCGCAAGCAGUUGAAACAACACGGCGUACUCAAGUUGCGUAUAACAACAAAUGGCACGUAGCAUAAAAUCGACUGGCCCAGGGGCAGACGUCAUCGCUCCGCGUCGUUGAAAAUAUUAGCGUUUAUUGAUUUGUCAAGAAGCAUUGGCUAGCGGAAAUGCUAAACAACAAACAAAAUAAAAGCCUGCAAUUACAAAAACAGGAAACGUUUUGCCAUGUCAGCUUUAUGCCUUAUGUUUCCGCAUUUCUUUUCGCACUUGUGUAACUUAGCCCUAAAGUUAGUUAAAGCCACUUAACGUUUUCUCGUUUAUUUACUGUACUCACUUUGCUAUUUUACUUGAAGAGCUGCCAAACUGAAAUCUAUGUUCAGAUUUUGUUAAUCUUCCACUGAGAAUUUUGUAUUGCAAAAGUAUAAAGGGAGACACUGACAAUUUAUUGUUGCAUCCAGAUAGAAAACACGCAAAUUUUUCUAUUGCGAAACCAAUUCAAAUGCUGUGUGCGGAAACACGUCCAUGAACGUCAAGCAAACGAAUCGAAAA